rnacentral:rRNA from 1 species
CGUAGGUGGCGAGCGUUGUCCGGAUUUACUGGGCGUAAAGGGAGCGUAGGCGGGCUUUUAAGUGAGAUGUGAAAUACCCGGGCUCAACUUGGGUGCUGCAUUUCAAACUGGAAGUCUAGAGUGCAGGAGAGGAGAAUGGAAUUCCUAGUGUAGCGGUGAAAUGCGUAGAGAUUAGGAAGAACACCAGUGGCGAAGGCGAUUCUCUGGACUGUAACUGACGCUGAGGCUCGAAAGCGUGGGGAGCAAACAGGAUUAGAUACCCAGGUAGUCCACGCCGUAAACGAUGAAUACUAGGUGUAGGGGUUGUCAUGACCUCUGUGCCGCCGCUAACGCAUUAAGUAUUCCGCCUGGGGAGUACGGUCGCAAGAUUA